GUGCAUUCUUCAAAACCCCCCGGUAGCUGUCUUUAGCUGCCGGGACAAGGAGGAAUGCUAGAGGAAUCCUAGAGUAAAGCAAGGCUGGGGUCGUUAACUCAAACUCUCAGCCAUUUCAGCUCUUGGACAUUC